rnacentral:siRNA from 1 species
CAAAUAAACUUGGUCCACAACGG